CUGUAACCCCCCAGCUGUCCCUUACCUUGGGAUGUACUUGACAGACCUGGCAUUCAUUGAAGAAGGGACACCGAACUUUACCGAAGAAGGCCUUGUCAAUUUCUCCAAAAUGCGAAUGAUAUCACACAUCAUUCGUGAGAUACGCCAGUUCCAGCAGACCGCUUACCGCAUAGACCAGCAGCCAAAGGUCAUACAAUACCUGCUUGACAAAGCCCUUGUCAUAGAUGAAGAUACACUCUAUGAGCUGUCACUCAAGAUUGAACCUCGACUCCCUGCCUGAAGAUCUGGCCCUGUCCCCGAGACCACUGGAAUUCCGUGGAAAGUGGGUCACGCAUGGCACAGGGGGGAACCAGAGGGACAACGCCUGCCUCCUUUCACCACCAAAGACGGAACCUAACUGUAAUUCUGUCUCCAGCAAGAGUGAAGCCCUGCUGCAUGGGCCAAAGGCAGAUGCUCCAGGCUUGGGUGGGAAGGUGUAAACGGUGAAGCCUGGGGAAGCUGAUGGCACAGUUUGCGUAAGGGGUACAGUACGGAGACGCUGGUAGCAAUUGUAAUGAAGUGGAAUGAAACUAAACCUUCCCUGCCCUGUGCUCUGUUAGAACUCAGGGACGAGGUCCCACAGAGAAGGCCUGCAAUGUUUCUUUGUCACUCUACCAGCCUGGGCACACCUCUACCAACGCCCUAGGACUCAAUUGCUUCUGUCACAGCUUCUUUAUGCGAGUGGGGGCUUCACUGAGAGAUUGGUGGCCCCAAGAAGCUGCCCCCUUGGAGAACCAAGCAUGGAGGUCUCAGUAAGAUGCAUGCCCAUGUCAGUCACCUGACCAAACUGUGGAAUGUGCUGUGAAGAGAAAUGACUUUUACUAAGGAAACGUAGGCCUAAAAAUCACCUUCGCUGGUUUCACUUAUUUUCCUUUCCCCCAAAUUACCCCAGAACCUUUUUCUGUUGUGUACAAACCCAUUGGGGUUCAUUGUGAGCACUGGCUAUACUUUGAAAAAGAGCAUUUUGUGGGCUUUUCUUUUUUCUUUCUUUUUCUGUUGGAGAGCUCACACUUGCUUGUGCUGUUGGCAGACAGUCCUUUCUCCUGUCUCAGACAUCUUUGUUUAAAAUGAUUUUGAGAUCAUUCUGCAU
rnacentral:lncRNA from 1 species